GAUGAACGCUGGCGGCGUGCCUAAUACAUGCAAGUCGAGCGAAUGGAUUAAGAGCUUGCUCUUAUGAGGUUAGCGGCGGACGGGUGAGUAACACGUGGGUAACCUGCCCAUAAGACUGGGAUAACUCCGGGAAACCGGGGCUAAUACCGGAUAACAUUUUGAACCGCAUGGUUCGAAAUUGAAAGGCGGCUUCGGCUGUCACUUAUGGAUGGACCCGCGUCGCAUUAGCUAGUUGGUGAGGUAACGGCUCACCAAGGCAACGAUGCGUAGCCGACCUGAGAGGGUGAGCGGCAACACUGGGACGGAGACACGGCCCAGACUCCUACGGGAGGCAGCAGUAGGGAAUCUUCCGCAAGGGACGAAAGUCUGACGGAGCAACGCCGCGUGAGUGAUGAAGGCUUUCGGGUCGUAAAACUCUGUUGUUAGGGAAGAACAAGUGCUAGUUGAAUAAGCUGGCACCUUGACGGUACCUAACCAGAAAGCCACGGCUAACUACGUGCCAGCCGCCACCGUAA
rnacentral:rRNA from 1 species